rnacentral:rRNA from 1 species
CGGACGUGGGUAACCUGCCUCAUACAGGGGGAUAGCAGCUGGAAACGGCUGAUAAAACCGCAUAAGCGCACAGCAUCGCAUGAUGCAGUGUGAAAAACUCCGGUGGUAUGAGGUGGACCCGCGUCUGAUUAGCUAGUUGGUGAGGUAACGGCCCACCAAGGCGACGAUCAGUAGCCGGCCUGAGAGGGUGACCGGCCACAUUGGGACUGAGACACGGCCCAG